ACAGGCCUAUCUUCUUACCAAGACUGAACAUUUUUUGGAUCCUUUACAGUUUCCCUACACGGCCGGACGGGGAGUUGAGGAUGCCACUGCCACUUUACUAAACUGUGUUUUUAAAAAUCUUGAAGGUAACAGAAACCAUGUUAAGUUGUUAUCUGUAGACUUUUUAUCAGCUUUUAACACAACCCAGCCUCAUAUUUUGAUUGAUAAGCUUCUUAACUUUCAUCUGGAUUUUAAUGUGGUGAAGUGGAUUCUUGAUUUUUUAACAUCCAGAACACAGAAAGUCAGAGUGAGAACACCAGAUCUAGAACCGUCUACUGGGUUCUCCUCUUCUUUACAUUUUGUACAGAUGACUGUCGCAGCCGGCAUGAUAACAGGUUAAUAUUAAAAUCUGCAGAUGACUCAGUGAUAGUUAUGAUGAUGAACAUGAUGCUCACGGCCCUGUGGUCCAUGGAUCUGUUGACUGGUGUGAUAAAGCUUUUCUUUCAUUAAUUGUACUGAAAACAAAGAACGUGUGUUGAUUUUAAACAGAAGCUCCAUAACACAACUCUACAGUAAUUAAAGGUCAGACAGUGGAAAAAUAUAAAUAUCUUGGGACUAUUUUGGAUAAUAAGUUAAAAUUUACCUGCCAUUCAGAAAACCUACAAAAAGGCCCAACAAAGAUUAUUUUAUUUAAGGAGGCUCACAAAGUUUCUAGUUGAUAAGUUAUUGAUGAUCCUAUUUUAUAGAUCAUAUAUUGAAUCUGUGUUGACCAAGAAAAGCCCUUAGCAGGGUAAAACAUACUAUCAAUAAGACCUUAGGGGUUGAUCAACGCUCACUUACAGAACUGUGUAAAAAAACUAAUCAUUAGGAAAACUAAACCCAUUAUUGCUGAUACUUCUCAUCCUUCACAUGCUGAGUUCCAGUUUCUAGCAUCAGGCUCAAACUUCCUGCUAUAAACAGCAACAGGUUCAAACUCUCCUUUGUUCCUACAGCAACAUCUCUUCUUAGUGCAGGACCAAGUAGGAGGACUUACACCAGAUCUAGUAACUGUCAGUCAAUGAAAUACACUGCUUAUUCUUCACAGGGCCACUAAGGGUUUCAUUCCAAUGGUGGCGCUCUCGAGCUGCUGUGGGUUUAACAGAGAGAACAAGUUUUCUGGCUCUGGUUUAUGUGACUCAGAAUAAAGAAGUUCUUGUCGUUUCCUGUCUGAUCCACAGAUAUUGGACUAGAUUUUUCUGCCUGUGCACCACAGAUUCCCCUAGAUCUGGUGUCCGUUAAACUUUCUUGCAUCUCAAGAAAGCAGCAAGCAGUAAAGCGCCAGAGGGAAACCAUAUUAUGACCAGAAGGUGAAAGGAGCAGAACUCCAACCUGGAGGCCAUGUUCUAGUGAAGAACCUUGGAGAACCUGGAAGACUGAGGUCAUAUUGGGAGAAGAUUGUUUCUGUUAUUCAAGAACAAAUAUCUGAGAAUCCAGUUUACAUGGUUGAUCUGAGGGUGGAGAUGAAAACAGAACAAGAACCCUCCAUCAGAACCUGUUACUUUCUAACUGACCUACCUGUAGAAACACCUGUAGAUGACCUAAAGUCAAUGGUCAGGAGGAAAUCUCAGAAAACACAUUCAGAAGCUGGUGACUUAAAGAGAGUGAAUGCAGAAUGUGAUGACAAUUCAAAAGAUGACCAGUUACUGGCUAAGAAUGCAUCUCCUGUUAGGUUGGAGUUCUUUUUUCUGUUUUGCUUUUUUUUUUUUCUUUCCUCUUCUGUUCUGGGUUUUCUGGGAAGCUGCCAUUUCCCUUUACAGCCACCAGAUGUCACCACUGAGCGGAGCCCCUGGAGAAGUGUGGCGGCCAACCUGUAGACGCACCUGUGUCUAAUUUUAGAGAGCUGCGGAGGUGCUUCAUAAGGACCGACUAGCUGACACUCCAGUGCCUGAGUGUUUGCCUCUACUGGUAGACGUUUCCUUAGAGAAUAGCCUUCUAUGAUUGAACUUGUGUUCUGAUCGCUCCUUGUGUUCUUCCGGUCAGGAUUCCUUGUGGUCAUCCUGAGACUCCUCGAGGUGGACGAGCGUCCCCGUCUGGAUUUCCCUUGUGAUUCCCCACGACGCCAUUGGUGUUACCAAUCGGUUGCCUUCCCUCGUGUACUCACCUCCCUGGUCCCUUCCCGUGGAUUCCCUGCGCCUCGCCACAGGCUGGGCCUGCCGGCGCUUCAUGUCCCGGGAGCUAACCAUCGGGAUUCCCCGCUCGGAUGUCAGCUCGCUCCCCUCUCCAGCGACAAGGCUUACCUGCUCGCUCUCCAACGGUAACCCAUUUCUCCAGCCGCCGCCACCGACGAGACCUAACUCCGCCUUCAAUCUGACGACCGGUUUUCCUCCAUUCCCAGGUUUCAGGACUGUUUCUCCCUGACCCCCACUACCUUUCCCCAAAUAAAUAUUAUUGUGUUUUCAUACCGCUUCUCUUAGUGUGUUCUUGCAUGUGGGUAACCCGGCUAGAACCCAACAUGACAUCUCCCAGUCUGAUCAGAGAGGAUUAGUGAAGGAACAGAGGCAUUUCAUGACUGACCAGUAAAUCCAUUCAAUCCAGUUUGUGAUCCUGACAGGAGAGAAAUGGAAUAUGACCGUCUGUCCUUUGCUGAUUCCUCACCUGUAAGAGGAGGACAAAGCCAAGCUGAGAAUGGAUGCUCACCUGAUUCAGAGUCAAACCCUCCAGCAGGAGAACAAUGUUGUACAGAAACAUGGAUGGAGGUGGAAGACCAGCGUCCAGCUGCUCAGCCAGAAGAGAAUCACAUUCUGUGAAGAGACAGAAAACCGGGGCAAAUGUUGGAGUAGGACACACUUCCACAUCCUCCUCUUCCACAUCCCCUGGCUGUGAACACAUGUAAUGUUCCUUGCUCCUGGUUUUGGGGAAUACCACCCACAUCUCAUUGACAUACCCAUAUUAGUAAACCAGUAGUGUAAACAGGGUAUGAACUGAGUCAUGGUUUUGAAACAAAUUUUAGCAGACACCAAGUGGCUUGAAAAGCUUUCAUUGUUAGUGGUUUAAAAUGUCAGGAGGCAUUUUAUUUUGUGGCACAUUUUAUUUUGUGUUGUGGGAUUAUCAUUUUAUUUUUCUAUUGAAUUAAUUUAUGUUUUUAUGCAUGUUUUAAAAAUAAAAUUUGGUAUUGAAAGUUGGCAUCUAUUGCAACUGAUUUUAUUGCAGUAGCAGAAAGCUACCAGUAGGAGGCAGUGUGCGCUCCAGAACAGAUUCAAGAUUUGUGAAGCACAGAUUUGUUUCCUACCUUUUCUAUCCUGUUUACCGGUUAGUAGUUUGUACAAUGUUCUUACUCUCACGACGUAACCAUCUGAAGAACUUAUUUAGUCUGUCACAGCAGCUUUUAUAGAGUCUUUUGGUGUUUUAUUUACCGUUGUCAUAGCAACUGAACCAGCAGGUGCCAGGAGGAAAUAGAGCAACUGAAUUGCGGCUCUUUUUUUCGCUUUGAGUUGCUAUGACAGCUAGAAAAGACAAAGUUUAUUUCAGACGCAAAUAAAACAAUACUAUGCACUUUGUUGUCUUCCUAAUAUAAUGGGCUUUUAAGUUUUCAUGGAUUUCCAGCGAUCCUGAAUUAAGAAGACGGUGACUUGUAAAUAUUCUUCGCUACCAGUUAAAGCUAACGCUGCACAGCAAAGUUUACAGCCUUCACUCUGGAUCAGAUUCUUCAGCCUAAAGAAGAGCUGAGCGAGUUUAUGGGAAGGAGAGAGCAGACCAGAUCCAGACAGCCGAGCAACUGAUCUGCCUGAACACACCGCUGUAAACACCGUCCUGCUUCACAAGAAACAUGCAAAACUAAUAAAAAGAAAUAACACGGAAACCUUAAGGAACACGGCCAUAUUUUUCUAAAAGCAACAACUUUGAACCUGAACAGUCAGCUUAACUAGAACUCUGACAUCAGAGCUGCUCUACUGUUAAGUUACGGGCUUGUUGUGCUUCAUGCUUCAGAAGUAAAAAGCCUGAAGCCUCCUUAUAAAUUACCCUCUGUGUUGCCCGAGAACCCAACCUCCAUAAUCUCAAGCUCUUCUGAAGAUUCUUCUGGACCUUCAUUGAUUAGACUCUCCUCCCCAAUAAGUAACCAAACCCCAGUGACCACCUUUAUACCCCCCUGGCAGAUUAAUUCAUCUUUACCAUGAUUCUCCACCUCACCCCCUCUGGACAAAGACGACCCGUUCUACCAGGAUUUCCCUCC